rnacentral:lncRNA from 1 species
CAGAGUGACAACAGGCAGAGAAGGAAGAUGGGUGGUAGUAGUCUUAGUGUUUUAUAACCUAAUUUUGGACAUUUUUUUCUUUAUUAUACUUUAAGUUCUAGGGUACAUGUGCACAACGUGCAGGUUUGUUACAUAGGUAUACAUGUGCCAUGUUGUUUUGCUGUACCCAUCAACUUGUCAUUUACAUUAGGUAUUUCUCCUAAUGCUAUCCCUCCCCCAGCCCAAUUUUGGACAUAUUAUCCCAUCCCUUUUGAUAGUAAGAAGUCACUAGGUCCACCCCUCACUCAAGGUGAGGGAUUUACACAAAGAUGUGAAUACCAAGAUCCAGAAUUCAGAAAAUCUUUGUGGGCCAUUUUGGAAGCCAUCUACCACACAGCUCUACUUCUACUAGCCAGGGGUUUCUGAGUGUUUUUUUUUUAUAAUUUCCCUGUACCCUAGAACUCCUUUAAACUUGGUCCUUUUGGAAAUACAUUUUCCUUAAAUUGUCCUAUGUAUAUCAUCUGUUUACCAAUAAGACCCUAACGAAUGCAAGUAUUAUCCCACAAGCAAAGGGAAGCGAUUGAGACUCUGCGUUUCUUGAUAAGGGAAUUCUUCAUGAAAGGGUUUGAAGCAGGGGAGUCAUUUGUCCAAAGUGGAGGAUGGGAUCUGAAAUGGGGAAGUCAAUGUGGAGAAGAUUCAGUGUGGAGGUCAAUGGGUGAUCGAUGUGGAAGGGUUCGGUGUGGAGGGAGAGUGUUGGAGAAGUGGUAGGAUUGGAGGUAGGAGGACAGUUUAGAGAUUGAACAGGAAUCCAGGUGAGGAAAAAUGAUGCCCAAAUCAGUGGCAGUGGUAAUACAGAUGGGAGGAUGUGUUUGAGAGAUGUUUAGGAGGUUCAGGCAACAGAAUUUGGGGGCUGAGAAGACGUAGGGAGAAUUUGAGAAUAAUGAGGAGGAAUGAGGAGUCUUUUCCCUAGGCUAUAUCUGUGAUUCUCAGAAAGUCUCCUGGGAUAAACUUUUGAAGCAAAUAGCUGUAGAACUGGAUUGCCUGCCCCUCUCUUCCCUGUAUGUAGAUAAAUUGAGAGAGCCCAAGACAGAGUCUGUAAAUGGACCAGGAUAUCUGGGUAUUUGUUCUGGCUGCCCCACUCCACUAGCUCAUUUAUGGCCAUGCGUAAGUUGUUCCUACUUUUUGUUAAGUCUAGUUCUUUAAUUUGUGAAGUAAGGGGUUAGCUAUGCUGGGUGAUCUCUAAAGCAUUUUUUUAGAUCUAACAUUCUAGGUCUUUUGUAAUCUAAAAUAGAGAAACCCACAUUUUAUUAUUUUACUACUUCAUAGCCUCCUUUACUUUAUUUUUAAUUUUCUUUAAAAAGUGAACCGAGCCAAAACUUUAAAAACAGGUAAGUCAGAAUGUUUAAAACAAAUGGCUUUUGGUCUUCAGCACUUAGGGCUUGUUUUUUUUCACUCUUUUUUUUUUUUUAACAUUAAAUAAAAUUCCUGGCCACAUG